rnacentral:rRNA from 1 species
UACGUAGGGACCAAGCGUUGUCCGGAAUCAUUGGGCGUAAAGCGCGCGUAGGCGGCCCGGUAAGUCCGUUGUAAAAGUCGAAGGCUCAACCUUCGAAAGCCGAUGGAUACUGCCGGGCUAGAGUACGGAAGAGGCGAGUAGAAUUCCUGGUGUAGCGGUGGAAUGCGCAGAUAUCAGGAGGAACACCGGUGGCGAAGGCGGUGCUCUGGGCCAGUACUGACGCUGUGACACGAAAGCGUGGGUAGCAAACAGG